UGGCCCCAGAGCUUACUUUCGACUCUCUUCUUCUAAGUAGCUUAUACAACAAUGCCCGCCCAAUCUCAACCUCUUAAUGCCGUCCUCGUCUCCGCCCCUCCGGCGCAAGAUAGAUUCACCACAUCCUCGAGGAACCCGAACCCUAGAGCCAAAUACCUUGAUCGCUUCGAACUCUUCCUAACGUUCUUGGUGAUAAUUUCAACUCCAUUAGGGGCUUUUUUUUUUUAUUACCCGCGGAUGAAUGAAAUGUCUUCAUACACCGUCUCCUCAGCUACCGUCGAUCCCUUCAACAUCUCCUCGUCGCGAUUGACCGCCGCCUGGAAUAUCUCCUUCUACGUCAAGAACUAUCACACGCGGCUAGAACUCAAACUUGCCCAUGUCCAGUCAUCCAUAUACUAUGGGUCCCACCUCCUAUCACAGGUCUCCAUCCCUCCCUUUCAUGUGCACCCGUGGAGGCAUGUGACUUUCCAGGCCCACUUGGAGAGCUUGGAUGUGGAUGCGGCCGAGUCCAUGGUCAGGGAAAGGCUAUUACAUGGGGCCGUGGAUUUCCGAAUUGAAUUGCUUGCUCGGGUAAAGUAUAUGGGCUUUCUUUCCGACUGGUCGAAGUUCAGGAUUUCGUGUGAGAACGUGACAUUUGGAUUCCCGGCUACGGAUAACGUGGGGCCGGGCGUUAUGUUGGGCCCACCUCGGAGGUGCAAAAUCUUUGUGGAUGAAAAGCCUAAGAAACGGCUAUGAAUGAUGAGGAAGCAACUAGUUGUUAAAGCUUGCCAUGGAUCCAGCACUAGUAGUCGAGAUCCUCUGUUCAUUUCUUUCUUUCUUUCUUUUGAGAAAAACCUGACAGUUUUACGGCCUUCAACAAAGAGAGCUAUUGUUGAGACAAGACCUGUCCCAGUCCAACUUCUGUAGAUAAAAUGACUAAAAUGCCCAUUGAUGUUCACCUUUUU